AAAACAUAAAGAAAUCCAGAGAGUGCAAAAUCGAGAGAGUUCAAGAGAAAAGCCCCUGCUCUAAUGGCGACGCGUUCUCGGGCAGCCACCUCCGCCGUUCUCGUGCUGCGACCGCCCUCAGGCCUCCAUCUUUAGGUUUUGGCUAAUUGUUUCAAGGAACUACUACAUGGUUUCUCUUGAAUUUCUCGGAUUAUUACCUAAAAGGUUUUGGUUUUCUUUCUUUCAAGGCGGCGUUUCUACAAUCAGACUUCCCCCGUGUUCUAGCGGCCGUGGAUUUGGUUUGUAGUCUGAAAUCCUCCAAAAAGGUUUGGAUUAUGUGAAUGAAGUGCAUACUUUGACCAGUGUCCUAAGCUUGGAUUUUGGCAAAACAGUGAGUGAUGUCCAUCCAAGCUUGCAUGGAUCAUGCAUGGAACUUGUGACAAAUAUCAGUAAAAGCAUAUUAGAGGGGCUUGAUCAGGCUAUCCUGGGGUUGAAAACAGAAAGAAAAUUUCGUCUACAAAAGCUUAAAGAUGUAGCUGGAUCCCUAUUUGAACUAUGGAACUUGAUGGAUACACCAAAAGGAAGACAAGGUCUGCUUCUUGAGAAUUACUUCUGUUCUUGGUUCCUCGGAAUCAGAAAUUGUGCAACCAAGACGCUCUUUCAUUAGAGGUGAUUGAACGGGUAUCAGCAGAGGUCGAGAGGCUCA